GGAUGAACGCUGGCGGUAUGCCUAACAAUGCAAGUCGAACGGAAUCCUUUAGGCGGCUUAGUGGCGGACGGGUGAGUAACGCGUGAGAAUCUGCCUUCAGGACGGGGACAACAGUUGGAAACGAUUGCUAAUACCCGAUAUGCCGAGAGGUGAAAUGUUUUUUCGCCUGAAGAUGAGCUCGCGUCUGAUUAGCUAGGUGGUGGGGUAAGAGCCUACCAAGGCGACGAUCAGUAGCUGGUCUGAGAGGAUGAGCAGCCACACUGGGACUGAGACACGGCCCAGACUCCUACGGGAGGCAGCAGUGGGGAAUUUUCCGCAAUGGGCGAAAGCCUGACGGAGCAAUACCGCGUGAGGGAGGAAGGUCUUUGGAUUGUAAACCUCUUUUAUUAGGGAAGAAGCUCUGACGGUACCUAAUGAAUAAGCAUCGGCUAACUCCGUGCCAGCAGCCGCGGUAAUACGUAGGGAGCGAGCGUUAUCCGGAAUUAUUGGGCGUAAAGAGUCCGUAGGUGGUUUUACAAGUCUGCCGUUAAAGAAUGGAGCUUAACUCCAUAGGGGCGGUGGAAACUGUGAGACUAGAGUACAGUAGGGGUAGCAGGAAUUCCCAGUGUAGCGGUGAAAUGCGUAGAUAUUGGGAAGAACAUCGGUGGCGAAGGCGUGCUACUGGGGCUGAAACUGACACUGAGGGACGAAAGCUAGGGGAGCGAAAGGGAUUAGAUACCCCUGUAGUCCUAGCCGUAAACGAUGGAUACUAGGCGAGGCUUGUAUCGACCCGAGCCGUGCCGAAGCUAACGCGUUAAGUAUCCCGCCUGGGGAGUACGCACGCAAGUGUGAAACUCAAAGGAAUUGACGGGGGCCCGCACAAGCGGUGGAGUAUGUGGUUUAAUUCGAUGCAACGCGAAGAACCUUACCAAGGCUUGACAUCCCUGGAAUCUCCGUGAAAGCGAGGAGUGCCUUAGGGAGCCAGGAGACAGGUGGUGCAUGGCUGUCGUCAGCUCGUGUCGUGAGAUGUUGGGUUAAGUCCCGCAACGAGCGCAACCCUCGUUUUUAGUUGCCAGCAUUAAGUUGGGCACUCUAGAGAGACUGCCGGUGACAAACCGGAGGAAGGUGGGGAUGACGUCAAGUCAUCAUGCCCCUUACGCCUUGGGCUACACACGUACUACAAUGGUCAGGACAACGGGCAGCCAAUCCGCGAGGACGAGCGAAUCCCAACAAACCUGGCCUCAGUUCAGAUUGCAGGCUGCAACUCGCCUGCAUGAAGGAGGAAUCGCUAGUAAUCGCAGGUCAGAAUACUGCGGUGAAUUCGUUCCCGGGCCUUGUACACACCGCCCGUCACACCAUGGAAGCUGGUCACGCCCGAAGUCGUUACUCUAACCUUUCGAGGAGGAGGGCGCCGAAGGCAGGGCUAGUGACUGGGGU
rnacentral:rRNA from 1 species